UCUCCAUGUCAGAGCUUUACUACCUUCCAAU
rnacentral:piRNA from 1 species